GACGAACGCUGGCGGCGUGCUUAACACAUGCAAGUCGAGCGGAAAGGCCCUUUGGGGUACUCGAGCGGCGAACGGGUGAGUAACACGUGAGUAAUCUGCCCUGCACUUUGGGAUAACUGCCGGAAACGGUGGCUAAUACCGGAUAUGACUACAUGGCGCAUGUUGUGUGGUGGAAAGUUUUUUCGGUGUGGGAUGUGCUCGCGGCCUAUCAGCUUGAUGGUGGGGUAAUGGCCUACCAUGGCUUUGACGGGUAGCCGGCCUGAGAGGGUGACCGGCCACACUGGGACUGAGACACGGCCCAGACUCCUACGGGAGGCUG
rnacentral:rRNA from 1 species